AUGAAAGAAAGAGAGAAUAAAAACGAAAGAAAAAGGAGAGAAGGAGAAAGAGGAAAAGAGAACCAUGGUAAUGAUAUGUACAUAAACGUGACAUAUGUCGUUAUGAACAUACAUAUACAUACGGAUAUAUCCACCGUAUAUACAUGUGUGUAUGUGAUCAUAUAUUUAUUUGUGUUGGAGAAUUGUAUGAACGGGUCUUCUGAAUAGAAUUUGAGGUUUAGAUACGAUAAUGUUUCUAUCUAACAAUAGACUUGAGGCUUAUCAUAAGGGUAUUUAAUAUAAAAACGUUUGUUGAGGGUAUUUAAUAUAAAAAACGUUUGUUGAGAAGUGAUCCUUACGUGUGAUUGAUAUAUGAUGUAUAUACGGAAGCCAAAUGCGUAUGUGUCUAUUACGCAUUGGAAUAGGAGAUGAUUAUGUUAAAAAUAUGCUAUUUAUGUGUAGAAUAGUCUAAAAGACUUUCUACUUAAGAUCAUCGGAGUUUAAAAAGAAUAAAAUGAGGGUUCUUUAUCAAUAGAAACGAUAUAUAACAGCGAAAUAACAAGACAGCACUGGACAGAACUUGAUUAUUAAAAUAAGUAACAAAGACGAGGCAGACAUGUGUCUAAGACACGUGUAUGAUGGUGAUUAAGUGAGUGAAAAGAGAAAACCAUUUAUUGAGAUAAUAUAAUGAGAUAUGAUGAUAAGAUGAAAUGUUAUAUUUUUGUAGAUUUGUUAUUGCGUAAAAUGCAUUAGGACAAUGAAAAACUUUAUAUAAUUUGAGUAAAAUAACAAUUAUUGAGCCUGAGAAUAGUUACAGGAGUAAGAUCUUAUAAAAGAGAGAGAAAGGAAGAGAGAAAGGGAGACAAGAGAGAGAGAGAGAAAGAGAGAAAGAGGAGGAAGGUACUUUAAUGGCAUAUUGAGGAAAUCGCGGAUAAAUUUUGUACGAAAAAAAAAAAGAAACGAAUUUCAUAUUCUCCUACACUUCUGAAGCUCUCAGUUUACUGAGUUGCAUGUAGGAACAGAAAAAAUAUAUAUCUUAUGUAUGAAUAACAGAUAUGAAUUACUAAUAAAAUUACUAACUAAUGUCAGCUUUGAUGUGCGUCAGAUAUACGUGAAAAUAAUUCCAUUGUUUCACGCGAUGCAUAUGUGAAGUAAUCAACAUUUACUUAACGUAUUUGUCACACGAUGAGCGUUUGUAAAUGACAAAGUUUUACGGAUACAUAUAAUAUGAUUUUAUAAUCACUCGAGUCUCGUAACUUACAAUUAACAUAACACAACGCUUACGAUUACUUUGCAAAGUACGUUGCAAUGCACCAAGUACGAUCGUCGGUAUGAUAUUCCCUUCUAAGUAUAAAUUUUGAGAAUCGACGAAAUCGUUCAUUCUGAACGUACAUAUACACAUUUACACAUACUACAUGUAACACGUACUAGAAGCCGACUUUCUUGAAUCUGACGAAAUAUGAAUUUGAGAGUAAAAUGCCACUUUACGUUUUCACGUAAAGGUAGAUGAUUUUCUUUAUGAGAAAUCGAACUCUUGAUACAUACCAGAUAUAAAACAAAGAUACAAAUAAUGAUGUACGCAACGUGACCAGUUGCUGCUGCACUGAUAUGAGUAUGCAACAAUGAUAUAAUAACGUGAAAUAAUUUAAUGUAAACGCGAAGCGUUAUGUAAAAAUGAAAAAAGAAAAAAGAGGAUUCACAUUGAAUACAGCAGAAAACAGAAAUGUUGAAAAUAAGAAAACUCGCACUAACGUAAAAAACAGGCGUGUUUAUAAUAUAAAGUGUGCCUGUUUUUCGUUGUAAUAAGUAGAAAAGUGGGGCCCACAAAACUCGUCUAUGAUACUGACAUACCAUUAAAACUUAUAUCUAUCAUAUUUAUGAACAAUCUAUGAUCUAAUGAUCUUUAAAACAUUGUGUGUUGUGAACAGAUUAUUAAUAACAGAAAAUUAAUUAUACAUCGAGUAAAUAUUGACUCUUGAUAAUCUUACUGGAAUGACACAAAUGACUACUAUAACAAUAAAACGAUCAAAUGAAUUGCUAAAUUCGUUUUAUAUGUGUGAUAUGUCACAGUACGAAACAUAUAAAAUAUUGCAGCGUAUAAUAAUAUUCGAUUUUUCGAAAUUACUAUUUUUAUUUCAUUUUAAUGCUACUUUUCUAGCACAGACUAUACGAUAUGGCCAAGUAGGAUUCAUUAAUUAACGUUUUAAAUGUAUAUACUUAUGAACAGUUGGUUUUUUUAUGCAAAAAUCCCAUUUUCAUAUCUCUAUUGUUACUGUUUUCUUUCUUUCAUACUUUAUGGAGUGUUAAGUUGUCUUGCAAAAUUCAGAAAAGGGAGUUUCAUUUAAUAACUUAUUUUAAAUAAUAAUUAAGAAAAGAGAAAAAGAUAUAUAUUUUAUGUUUCUCAUAUACUUUAGAUGUAUGCACAAUGAUAAAUAUUAUUUGUAUAUCAUCUGUUUUUUUUUAUUUUUUCAUUUUUUUAUCUUCUAACUGUAGCCUAUGUGAGUAGAAUCGAUUUUUUUCAUAGUAAUCCGACGAUAAGCAUAAUAAUGGAAAGAUGAAUCCCUGGGUUUUACUCAACAUUUAUAAAUUUUAAGUUUUUCUUAACGUAGUUUCUUGCUUGUAAUAUGAAAUAUAAAGUAACGAUAGCAAAUGCGAAUAUAACGUAAUAAA